GCCAAAUACAAAACCUGAAAUCGAAUAUAGAAGUCUAAGUGCAAGAUAGAUUCUCUACAAUAUAAGAAGGGGCAGUGACUAACAUAGCAGUUUAAAGGAAUGAAGCUCUGUAUUUUCCUUAACAGCUAAUGUAGGAGAAAAAUACAGAAUCAUUUUUCAACUUGACAACCAUACUAAGUGUAAAACCUACAAAUAUUAUCUUUCUAGCUUGUAUACUUUAAAAUUUAAGUAUAACUCCACAACCUUCCCCUUGUCAUUUGUUUCUAU
rnacentral:misc_RNA from 1 species